rnacentral:rRNA from 1 species
UACAUGGGGUGCAAACGUUGCUCGGAAUUAUUGGGCGUAAAGCGCGCGUAGGCGGUUACUUAAGUCGGAUGUGAAAGCCCUCGGCUUAACUGAGGAAGUGCACCCGAAACUGAGUAGCUAGAGUACGAAAGAGGGUCGCGGAAUUCCCGGUGUAGAGGUGAAAUUCGUAGAUAUUCGGAAGAACACCAGUGGCGAAGGCGGCUCACUGGCCCGGUACUGACGCUGAGGUGCGAAAGCGUGGGGAGCAAACAGG